rfam:Gossypium arboreum cultivar AKA8401 contig_25149_5, whole genome shotgun sequence.
AACCCAUGGUAAGGGCACCUUCUUAAUAAGUCCUUGUAUCUCUCCCAUGCAUCAUAACGAGUUUCUAAAUCCAUCUGCACAAAAGAAAAAGAUAUCAUUUCUCAAUUU